GGCCUCCUGGCCUAAUGGUUAGGGCGCCAGAUUUCGGUGAACAGUCACUUAUCCUCUGGAGAUUGUCGGUUCGAAUCCGGCGGAGGUCG